rnacentral:rRNA from 1 species
UACGUAGGGCGCGAGCGUUGUCCGGAAUUAUUGGGCGUAAAGAGCUCGUAGGCGGCCUGUUGCGUCCGCUGUGAAAUCCCAGGGCUCAACCCUGGGCGUGCAGUGGAUACGGGCAGGCUGGAGGCAGGCAGGGGAGAACGGAAUUCCCGGUGUAGCGGUAAAAUGUGUAGAUAUAUGGAAGAACAUCAAUAACGGCGAAGGCAGUUAACUAUUCUGUUACUGACGUUGAGGCACGAAAGCGUGGGGAGCAAAACGG